UACUCAGAGGCGGCAGCAGUGAGGCCGCGUUCCUGCCGGCUGACGGAUGGCUCGGGCCUCCGAGUGGAGCUGUGGGUCGGGGGUCAGAGCAGGCCUCCCCGGGGAGCAUGGGGGCUGGCACACCGGGUCCCCGGCCAGCCUUCUCUGCCGAAGGAGUAGAAGCUGCAGAACGGGUCCCGAAUCGCGGCGGCAUGGCUCUUAGGCGCCUUUUGCCCCCGGUCCUCGCUCUGUCUGUCACAUGGUUGUGUUGGGGAGUGUUCAGACUCCCCGGGGCUGUAAUGUGGCAACUCAGUUCCCUCCUGCUGUCACCCGUGCCUGCCGUGGGUGGGCCACCAGGUCACAUGGAUGCCCAGCGUAGCCGCUGUCCCCGGGCCUGUUUCUCAGACCGGCACACUGAGGUGCGGUGGACAGAAGUCACUUGCCCAAGGGCACGCUUGCCCACAGUUAAUGGACCUGCAUCUGAUUUUAUUGAAGCCACCCGUGUCCUAACGGUCCCACCGUGUAAGAGUGGGGAGGUCAGCAGGCCUGCGGCGCGCCGGUACCCUGCGACAAGCUGUUCACGGCGUGAGGAGGGGCAUUAGGUUGAUGGUUGGAGGUGCUUGGGCUGAUGGGCGUUAAGAGCGCGUUAGGACAGAUGGAGCAAGCGCAUCACCGAUUUCCUGAGGCCACUGUUCGAGACGAGAGGAGGUAGUAAAAGGGAGGCGAUUGAAUAGGGUGUAAAUUUUGAAAUUAAAAUCUUUAGGAAUCUUAAUUCCUUUAAUGGGUACUUGGAAAUGGCAAACAUCGGGGAGGCUGGUUGGACUUGUGUUCUAAGAGGCUCCUUCCUGCCAAGGACUUCUCGGGGUCCCCAGUAGCCCCUGCAGACUGAUGGCAGCUCCCGCAGAAGGGGGUACCUCGCUCUUUGGUCUGCCAAGGUCACCCAGCCGUCUUGAAGGUCAGGGUCAUCUCGAUUCUAAUGAGAGCAAGAUCACAGGGUCCUCUGAAGGAAGGGGACCCAAGGUUCCCUCCGCAGGGGCGGGAGAUGAGGGAUGAAGGGGGGCUCCGCCAUCCUUCGUCCGCACGCAGAGCUGGGAGCAGCACCAGGCAGGUGCUCGGGCCCCACGCUUGUUCUCGGGACCGUGCCGGCGGUGGGAAGCCAAGCCUCGGCCCCUCCGGACUCUCGGGGCGCCCCACGCAGUUUGCAGGAGGGUGCCUGUCACAGCUGUGUGUCAUCUGGAUCUCUGUGUGUGUUUUAACCGAGAUCUCGAAGUUCUUUUUUGGUCAUGGGGUGAAAACCUCCCAAAUUUAAUUGCCCUGCAGCGCCUGAAACGGUUUGUUGCUUUGCAGGUUAGAUCUGUGAUCUCCUGCGUAGCCUCCCUAAGGCGCAGUUUUGGCUCUGGGGGUAGGGGGACACAGGAGGUCGCAGGGGAAGCACAGGACUUCGGUGUGUCUCCGUUCUGGGCCUCGCGGUGGGGGGUUCGGGACGCGCCGUCCACGCUGCUCCUCCCUGCUGCCACUGGGCCACUGCUGGGAAAGGCUCCGGCCUCAGGGGCGUGGGGGGACAUUCUGCCACGUCUGACUUGGGGUUUCGCAGAACCUGUGCUUUAUUUCAAGUAUUUUCAAAGCGGUUGGCGUGUGGCAGGGGAUGGAGGGAGCUGUUUGAAGACCCCAGAAUGACAAGAGCAUCGAACCUCCUUUAAGGGAUCAGAGUCCCUCGAGGGGAUGGGUCUGGCUGGGGUGAGGCAGGCUCCUCCCCAAGGAGCUCCCGACUGACUCCAAGACCUUCCUGCACAUGGAGCCCAGGCCUCGGGUCCCUGGUCUGGGUCCGGCCCUCGGGGACCCAGAGGAGAAGGCAAGGAGGCUAUCCCUCACCCCACGGGCCUCACGGGCCGGCUGGGGAUUGCUCAGGGCCCUUGCCCCCUUGCCCUCUUACUGCUCGUCCGGCCUCCUACCUGACUACCUGUCUAGGAAUUUUUAUUGCAAACCCGCAAAGGCACGGCAGCUUGGCUGGAAUGUGAGAGGUCCCGGCCGCACGGGUGGGAAUGCAGAGGCGGAGGCCCCUGGCCUGCUCCCAAGCGGAGUGUGGAUAGUGUGCCUCUCUUGCUUCUGGGCCUGUCUGAGCUUCGUGCUCUUUGUGCCCUCAUUCUGCCUAAGAUUGGUCCUGGUCUGAUCUGACCGCUUCCCCUGCGACCUCGGCCCAUGGCAGGAUCUGGAGUAGCAGUUGAUUAUGACGAGGUAUGAAAGCCAGGGAAGUAGUCUUCAGAGUUAAAAAGGUCCUGGGCAGCCCCGCUGCGCCCCUAAGAACAUUGCUGUUCUAAGGGUUCUGCUGUUCUUAGAACAUUGUUCUAAGAACAUUGCUGCUGUUCUGAAACCUCCCAGCCUCCUGGCAGCAGUUCCUGUCCUUAGACCCAUUGCACAGAUGGGCAUACUGAGGCACGCACACUUGCCUUAGGUCCCAUGACUGUGAGUGGCAGAGCCAGGCCCUGAACCCCAGCAGCCCUGGUUCCCGUGCCCACGAAUUGGGCUGAGUGUGGGCUGUGGGCUCCGCCAAGGGAUCGUCAUGGCGCCACAAGGACCUGAACUGCCUUGCCAGUCGCUGGGAGAUAGGGUAGCUCAGGGCUCCUAGGGCUCUGCCUUCCUCUCCACCAUGAAGACUGCCCACGUGGGGUGGGGGCUGGACCAGGGAGGGUGUCCGGGUGAGGCCGGGGGCUCCAGGUCGACUCCAGAUGCCAUAUGCUACUCUGCCUCUUCUCCAUCUGGCAACGUCGGCCCUCAAGGAAUUCAUCCUGGGGCCAAGGGCGGCCUUGGCCGUGCCCGUCCUCCAUGGGCUGUCGGCCAGGUACACGCUCCUCUGGCCAGAGAAGGGUCUUCUGGAGGAGGACCAGGCCCGGGGACACUGGGCACCAGGGAUGCCGAGGUUGGGCAUCUGUGGUUUCUUGGCCAUCUGUGGUUUCCUGACCCCGUUAUCUACCCUUGCGCCCCACGAUUUCACGGGUACACCCUGAUGCUUGCAGCCUGGUGAGGUCCUCAAAAGGGCCAAACGCAGUGUGUCUGGAGUGAGCAAGCACUGAGGACUCAGACACGAAGAGGAGAAGGCGGCGGAGCCGCUGUAGACCCCCACCACUAGGGGAGUGUCCCCUGGGGUUGCUUCCCUGUUCUGAGCCUUUGUUUCCUCGUCAGUAGAAUGGGGAUCCUAGGAGGCAGUCACUUCCUAGAUCAUCGUGGGGAUCAAAUGAGGGAUACAUGCUUAGCUCAGUGCUCCGGGCCUUGUAAAUGCUCAGGAGUCGAAGGGUGUUCUGUUAUUAAGUCGUCAUCCCUCGGGCAGUGCCUUCGCCCUCGCCACAACCUGCCCGGGGACCCUUUGUGAGUCAGCGCUGGCUCACAGCCCCUCCCCUUUCAGAGCUUUGCCUGGGGACCCCAGCCCAGCCCCCUGCUGAAGGCACCUCCUGGAUGUGCUGAUGAGGAAGAAGAGCUAGGGAAGGGGGGUCGUCCCCUCGUCCCCUCGUCCCCUCGUGGCAACCUGAUGGGGGCAGGUGCCCGAGUACCUAGUGUGUCUUGGGCGGAAUGUUCUAGAAGUAUACCGCCAUGAGGAAGACGAACUUGAGUACGGCCGACAGAAAACCAGGGGUUGCGGAGCACAGAUUGUCGGAAGUCGUGCACGACGCAUCGAGGGGCAGAGGACAGAUGUCAAGCAGGGGAUCACGGGCGUAGCUCGUGUGCCUGUUUCUCCAGUACCCGCCCCGUAUUUCCAGCCAGGACCCUCAAGGAUGCCCCAAGCCCGGAGCACCACCCUGCCAGGGACAAUGGGCCCGUCUCCUUUUGUGUUGCUGAGAAUAUAGCAUGGUUCUUCUGAUGGUAAAAGGUGAUCUGUGCUCCUUAUUUAACAAAAAUGCCAAGGAUUUGAUAAAUGACCAAGACACAAGUCAAGAUGCCUAUAAUCCCGUCACGUGGAGACGGGUUUAUUUUGCUGAAAAUACUUUGCAGGCCUGUCUCCAGGCAUUUGUACCAAAGGCUGAUAAAAGAGCUCAGAGCAGUGGCUAGGAGAUGGUUGCAGGCUCCCCUACCCACCGCCCCACCCCCCCCACCCCCCAGCAGUUUUGGGAGGGGGAAGGACAGGUCGCCACCAGGCGGUCUGUGCUGUGUCCCAGCUGCGCAGCAUCUGUUCCCUGGGACGAGUGGGUUGGGAGGCCCCCGGGGGGAGCUUCUGCCCCUCCUCCAGCACAGCUUUCUGCUGUCGGGCAGCCCAGAUAUGGAGCCUGUCCUUUUGCCACUCAGACCCUUGAGCCCCUCGUCUGUCAAAUGGGCUGAUACCCACAGUUUCUGUCUCAGAGGCAAAGGGAGUAGACCUAGCCAUUAGGAGAGGCCCAGCCAGCACUGGGCACAUAGUAAGAGUUCAGGAAAUAAUCAGCCACUGGUGCAGGGCCUCACACCCCUGGCCGCAUGUUCCCACUGGCCGCCAUGCUGUUUCGGGUCUGUCUGAUGCCUCCAGGUCCCAGGUCUGACCUUCGUUCAUAACCAACGGCUUCUGCUGGUAAGAUAAUCUUGAAAAACCGCAAAUCUGAUUCGACCCUCUCUUUAUAUUAUACAAACUCAGAGAGGGUGACUAGGGGACUGAGGUCACACACCCAGCAGCCAUGGCCUAAGUGUCCAGGAAUGGGUCUCCUCCCCCGCUUGGAGCAGGGCCUUCCAGGCUCAAGAAAGACCCUAGGGCCCCUCAUUACCUCAGCCCGGAAUACAUACAAAGUUUCUGAACUGGCCAUCCUGGUAAGCAGCUUGUGUUCACGGCUGCUGCCUGGUCGCAGGCGCCAUUCUGAGGGUUUCCAGUGGCUUUGCUUCUUCCGUGAUGAGCCCAGGGGUCCUCACUUUCCAUGUGGAGACAGUGCGUCCAGCCUCGGCAGCAACCCAGGCCGAUUUCCCUGAGGCAGAGCUCUGGCCACCUCACUUUUCCAGGAGGGACAGGCGGUGCGUGGGACCGAGAGGUGGGCCCCUCUACAGCCACCGUCUCCUCGCCCCCGCGCCCCGACCUUUCCGCCUGGGAGGCCAGGCCUCCGGCCCGGUCGUACAAUGCCCCCUUCUCUCGUUCAGACGGGCGGUCUAGACGCUCACGCUCCCUUUUGUUCUGUGGGGUCAGGGGGUGGGGAGUGGCCCCACAGAGUGGGAUCUGGGCCGAGGCAGGAAGAAAUCUUCCCCGAACGAAGAAGGGGGUGGGAGUGAGUUUCGGAGGAGGCGGCCUGCUGUCCCCGCCUGCCCGUCAGGUGACCAGCUGUCCCGGCAGAGAGCACUGCGUUGUAAGGAUGAAGGCAGCGCCUCGUGGAACCCAGUGCGCCCGGAGCCGCCUCAUGGACUUUGUCUAAAUAAAACCCUACAGUCCCCUCGGGUGUGUGCCGGGCUGCUGGCGGGAACCUGGGGGCCAGAGGCAGUGCCUGGCCAGGUUGGAGCCCAGGAAGCUGUGGGAAGAGAUGCUGCCGAGCCACGUCCCCCACCUCCACCCGCUUCGGGGACAUCUGGUUGCUUCAUCGAGGGCAGGGCAGACAGAAACCUCCCCGAGACGUGACCCACGAAGCCGUCUCGCUUAGUGGCCAUGGGUGACAGGACGUUUGGGGCAGCGCUGGGCUGGCCACGGAGAGACCCCGCGUCUCCAGUGUGAUCUUCUGCUUCCAGACCAGUUCUUGACUGGUCAGGUCUGUGACCUCUUGGCGUCUCAUCUGUAAAAUGGGGCCGUGAGUGGCCACGGAAUCCGUCACAGGGUGAACUGGUGCAGGGGUGUCAUGGGAUAAUCUGCCUUCUUCGCCUGGUACGGAGUGGGCGCCGUCACUCUCGCUGUCGAUGGCGAAGUGUUCACGCGUGGGCUGAGCGGGGGACCUGCAGGCGCCCCAUUCCCUGGUGAAUGUUAGAGAGCAUGGCAGAGGCCACGGAGCGGGGCUGAUGGUGGGGGCAGCCGUGGAAGCCUUUGGCCAGGGCCGGGGCACAUGCGCAGGACGCGGCUUGUGUGAUGGAUCUGAUCACUGCCUCUUUGAAUGGUCUGUUCACACCAGAAGCCCCCCCCACCCAGCUCUGUGCUGGUGGGGAGAAGCUCUCAGAAUUGGGGUGGCAGGUGGCGCUCAUUCCCCAGUACCUGUUGGCCCAGCUGUGGGGAAAGAGAAGCAGGAAGGGCCGCUCGCAGGAGCCAUUCAGGGAAGGCAGAGCAGGGUCGGGAAGGGCAGGCAGCGUGGGGGAUCUGUGGGAGCAGAGGUGCUGAGAGGCACCGGACGCCGGUGGCUGCGGUGACCCUCGGCGCCUGGCCCCUCCUGUGCCAUCCCAAUGGCCCUGAUCCGGCCCUGUAGGACUUGUCUCGUCCCCACUCAGGGUAGGGACUCUCCACGACAGCAUUGGGGGACGUGUUGGCAAAAACGUUUCACGCGCUGGCUUGGCCGACAUCGGGGCGGCUGGGGAGAGGGAACUCGAGGCUGGGCCCCGGCGGGCGUGGGGUCACUGGUUCCCAUCUGCCCUGGUUACAGGUGAGAGUGGCAGCAGGUGUCGGGGGGUCACACGUGCGGGAAGGAACCGGGUUCUUUCUGGGCCCGACUGGGUCACCCGGGGGAGUCUCGGCCCUGCCCGGACUCAGGGACUGUGAGGACCUCCCUCUCCCGCCGCUCGGCCUGAACCCCCUUGAGCGACUAGAACGCCGUCCUGACUCCCCGAGUCCGAUCCCCGGCGGCGCCGACGUCUCCUGGCACCUCUGCUCCACGUGUCUGGGUGAAAGCAGAGGUUCUGCCCACAGACAGGGAGCCGUGGGCCGUCCCCGUGGGAGGAGCGGAGAUGAGCAGACGCUUUUUAUUAAAAAUGAGCGUGUGGAAGGGGGCGCACAUAGCCUGUAACGCCCCCCCUUUAUGCGAGCGGUCUUCGGUUGCCGUAACCCUCGGGGGGUCUCAGGGUUUCAGUCGCCAGUGAGGUGACCUCCCUGUGGACCCGCACAGAUCGCUUUUCUGCGUAAGAACCCUCGGCUCGACAGGGCUUUGUUGGAAGUGUUCGCCGUGUGUGCGGCCCUGGGCUCCGCUCCGUUGUGUGGGCUCCAGCCCCCCUGCUCUGCGUGAGCCGGGCAGCC